GACGAACCGUGCGAACGUUGUUCGGAUUCACUGGGCUUAAAGGGCGCGUAGGCGGGUGAUCAAGUCCGGGGUGAAAUCCUUCAGCUCAACUGGAGAAUAGCCUUGGAUACUGGUCGCCUCGAGGGAGGUAGGGGCGGGCGGAACUUCCGGUGGAGCGGUGAAAUGCGUAGAUAUCGGGAGGAACACCUGUGGCGAAAGCGGCGCACUGGACCACAACUGACGCUGAGGCGCGAAAGCUAGGGGAGCAAACAGG
rnacentral:rRNA from 1 species